GUAUACUUAAAAAGUCUACUUUUACUCUAUUUUGAAAGUGAGUUUACUUUCUUUUUUUGUUUUUAAUGAAUAGGACUCAGGAUUUAAAGACAAAAAAGCAUCAUAUUCCAGUGAUUGAUCGAACUCCACUAGAGCCCCCACCAAUAGUGGUAGUGGUGAUGGGGCCUCCAAAGUUGGAAAGAGCACUUUGAUAUAAUGCCUCAUUCAGAACUUCAUUGGCAGAAGUUGACUGAGAUCAGAGGCCCUGUGACGAUUGUGUCAGGUAAAAAGCGCAGACUCACCAUUAUUGAAUAUGGGUGUGACAUUAACAUGAUGAUUGAUCUGGCUAAAGUAGCAGAUCUGCAAAAAUAAAAUACAAAUUAGCAAAAAAGAAAAAAAAAGUCCAGAUGCAGUGGCUCACACCUGUAAUCCCAGCACUUUGGGAGGCUGAAGUGGGCGGAUCACCUGAGGUUGGGAGUUCGAGACCAGCCUGACCAACAUGCAGAAACCCCGUCUCUACUAAAAAUACAAAAUUAGCCAGGUGAGGUGGCGUAUGCCUAUAAUCCCAGCUACUUAGGAGGCUGAGGCAGGAGAAUCGCUUCAGCCUGGGAGGCGGAGGUUGUGGUGAGCCAAGAUCGCGCCAUUGUACUCCAACCUGGGCAACAAGAGCGAAAUUUCAUCUACAAAAAAAAAAAAAAAAAAAAAAAUUAGCAAAAAAAUAAGCCAUAUUGAUUAGGAAGUGUGAGGUGACAGAUAGCUUGGUUUUUUCAUUUUUAUUUAGUUUUUUCUAGAGCUACAGAUUCUAUACUUUGGCCCAGGGAAACUCCUAAAAUAUAAAGUAAAAAGUAAUACAGAUUUUAAAGUUAUACCAUUGUAAUGUCAGAAAACUAAAUAAUGUUCAAAUUUUGAACAUGUAAUGCUACUAUUAGUAAAAAUAAGUGUUAUUAAUGUAAAGUUGUGUAAAGAUUACUAAAUCUUGUAUACUUGAAAUGAUUGAAAUAGUUCAUAGAAGUCAUUUGUUUCUCUUUUAUUUAAAACGUAGCAAGUUUCUAAUUUUAAAGAUAUACAUAUUAAGAGAUGCCUUUACUUUUUUUAUUUUAGUUGUUAUGGAUACAUAAUAGUUGUACAUAUUUAUGGGGUACACGUAGUAUUUUGAUAGAAGCAUACAAUGUGUGAUGAUCAAAUCAGGGUAAUUCAGAUAUCCGUCGCUUCAAACAUUUAUCAUUUCUUUGUGUUAGGAACAUUUUAAUUUCAUUCUUUUAGUUAUUCUGAAUUAUAUAAUAAAUUAUAGUCACCCUGGUGUGCUGUUGGACACUAGAAUUUAUUCCAGCUGUAUUUUUUUCUUUUUUUUUUAUCAUUAUUAUACUUUAAGUUUUAGGGUACAUGUGCACAAUGUGCCGGUUAGUUACAUAUGUAUACAUGUGCCAUGCUGGUGUGCUGCACCCAUUAACUCGUCAUUUAGCAUUCGGUAUGUCUCCUAAUGCUAUCCCUCCCCCCUUCCCACACCCCACAACAGUCCCCAGAGUGUGAUGUUCCCCUUCCUGCGUCCAUGUGUUCUCAUUGUUCAAUUCCCAUCUAUGAGUGAGAACAUGUGGUGUUUGGUUUUUUUGUCCCUGCAAUAGUUUACUGAGAAUGAUGAUUUCCAAUUUCAUCCAUGUCCCUACAAAGGACAUGAACUCAUCAUUUUUUUAUGGCUGCAUAGUAUUCCAUGGUGU
ensembl:lincRNA